rnacentral:rRNA from 1 species
GCAAGUCGAACGGUAAAUAGUCUUCGGAUUAUUGAGAGUGGCGAACGGGUGAGUAACACGUAGAUGAUCUACCUUUUAGUUGGGGAUAGCCCAUGGAAACAUGGAGUAAUACCGAAUAAUCUCUUAAAGCUUUAGUUUUUUGAGGAAAGCAGCGUUUGCUGUGCUGAAAGAUGAGUCUGCGCACUAUUAGCUAGUUGGUGGGGUAAGAGCCUACCAAGGCGACGAUAGUUAGCCGACCUGAGAGGGUGAUC